rnacentral:rRNA from 1 species
AUCCGGGUGGGGAACAGUGUCAGGCGGGUAGUUUGACUGGGGCGGUCGCCUCCCAAAGAGUAACGGAGGCGCCCAAAGGUUCCCUCAGCACGGUCGGAAAUCGUGCGCAGAGUGUAAACGCACAAGGGAGCUUGACUGCGAGACCGACAGGUCGAGCAGGGACGAAAGUCGGGGUUAGUGAUCCGGCGGUAACGAGUGGAAGUGCCGUCGCUCAACGGAUAAAAGGUACUCCGGGGAUAACAGGCUUAUAGCCGCCAAGAGUUCACAUCGACGCGGCUGUUUGGCACCUCGAUGUCGGCUCGUCGCAUCCUGGGGCUGGAGUAGGUCCCAAGGGUUGGGCUGUUCGCCCAUUAAAGCGGUACGCGAGCUGGGUUCAGAACGUCGUGAGACAGUUCGGUCCCUAUCUUCCGUGGGCGUUGGAGAUUUGAGAGGAGCGACUCCUAGUACGAGAGGACCGGAGUGGACGUACCCCUGGUGUACCGGUUGUCCUGCCAAGGGCACCGCCGGGUAGCUAUGUACGGAAGGGAUAACCGCUGAAAGCAUCUAAGCGGGAAGCUCGCCUCGAGAUAAGAUCUCCCAUCCCCAUAGAGGGAGUAAGACUCCUGGUAGACCACCAGGUUGAUAGGCCACAGGUGUAAGUGCAGCGAUGUAUGUAGCCGAGUGGUACUAAUAAGUCGAGGGCUUGAUGUA